UAUAUAUAUAUAUAUAUAUAUAUACAUACCAUGCCUUUUAAGAUUUUGGCAAUGACUGUGAAAUGCUAAUUUCACAGUAAAUUGGAACUUUAAUUUUAUAAAAGGAGAAGAAAAAAAGUCAAGCUAGAUUAUUAAAGAAAAUAGAACCGGCUAGAGUGGACUAAUUUUUGAUUUAGCAAUAAUUUGUGAAACAUCAAUUUUCUGAAGUAUUUAUACAUAUGUGUUCUAUGCUACUCCAAGAGAAAAUACCGUAAGUUGCAGACUUAAGAAAAUCUCUUAUUGGACAAUUGACGAAAAAAGAAAUUGUCUUUUUUGACUAUUGUUUAUGCAUCAUUAAAUACAAAAAUAAAUAAAAAUUAAACUCUACAGUUGUCGCUAUAUUGAUUUGAUAAUUAUGUAUGUUUUUGUGUUCUGUAAAUGUUGUAAUUUAUAUCUGGUAGAGCUGCACAGUUUGCAUCCAAUUUCUCUGCAAUGGAGACCAAAAUUUUAUACAACAUGCAUAUUAAGGAGAAGUACGCACACAAAAAUAACUUUUAAAUGCACCUGACAGUAUGGCAAGUGGAACAUAUAC